AUUUCUACUGCAACCUCAAAAUCUUCUUCGAUGACAACAUUCCAAGAAAUACCUUCCCAAAAUAAUGGUUCUGGAUCACCUGCACUGAGUGACAUAGAAACUGAUCGAUAUCCUGAUCAAGGCAAAGUGGACCAGACACAAUCUAACAACAGUACUCAUAGAGAAGGUGGAUAUCCAACAGUGGCCAUUGUUCUUACAGUUUGCAUUCUUCUGGC